GUGCCAGCAGCCGCGGUAAUACGUAGGGUGCAAGCGUUAAUCGGAAUUACUGGGCGUAAAGCGUGCGCAGGCGGUUUUGUAAGACAGAGGUGAAAUCCCCGGGCUCAACCCGGGAACUGCCUUUGUGACUGCAAAGCUUGAGUGCGGCAGAGGGGGAUGGAAUUCCGCGUGUAGCAGUGAAAUGCGUAGAUAUGCGGAGGAACACCGAUGGCGAAGGCAAUCCCCUGGGCCUGCACUGACGCUCAUUCACGAAAGCGUGGGGAGCAAACAGGAUUAGAUACCCUGGUAGUCCACGCCCUAAACGAUGUCAACUGGUUGUUGGGUCUUAACUGACUCAGUAACGAAGCUAACGCGUGAAGUUGACCGCCUGGGGAGUACGGCCGCAAGGUUAAAACUCAAAGGAAUUGGCGG
rnacentral:rRNA from 1 species